rnacentral:lncRNA from 1 species
UAAGGGUCAGGGUUCGAACUUCAGACAUCUCAAUCAUUCUUCAUAAAAGUAAAAUUUCUAACCACUAAGUAUCUGUUUGGUUGCACGGUGAGUAUUCUAGAGCCCAAACGUGAGUUGGUCUGAAGCUCAGUUUUGAAGCUUAUGCGUUGAACCAACUCAAUUCUACUCUUUUGCUAAACAAUUAGUAUUUGAUAUGAUAUCCCUAUUUGUCC